rnacentral:rRNA from 1 species
AUUGAACGCUGGCGGCAGGCUUAACACAUGCAAGUCGAGCGGAGCGAGGGUGCUUGCACCUUAGCUUAGCGGCGGACGGGUGAGUAAUGCUUGGGAAUCUGCCUAUUAGUGGGGGACAACAUUCCGAAAGGAAUGCUAAUACCGCAUACGUCCUACGGGGGAAAGCAGGGGAUCUUCGGACCUUGCGCUAAUAGAUGAGCCUAAGUCGGAUUAGCUAGUUGGUGGGGUAAAGGCCUACCAAGGCGACGAUCUGUAGCGGGUCUGAGAGGAUGAUCCGCCACACUGGGACUGAGACACGACCCAGACUCCUACGGGAGGCAGCAGUGGGGAAUAUUGGACAAUGGGCGGAAGCCUGAUCCAGCCAUGCCGCGUGUGUGAAGAAGGCCUUUUGGUUGUAAAGCACUUUAAGCGAGGAGGAGGCUACUAGUAUUAAUACUACUGGAUAGUGGACGUUACUCGCAGAAUAAGCACCGGCUAACUCUGUGCCAGCAGCCGCCGUAAGAC